GUCAGCGCCGCAUGAAGUCGAACACACCUAUUAUUUGCGGGCACGCGCCUCUGUCUUCGUGAGUUCAAAAAACUGAAUUUAACCGAUGUUAACCUCAGACGACAGUUUUCGUUUCUGUGAUAAAUUCUGAGGUAAUUUUCUUGUUGUGUUUGAUGUUUUCCAUUGGCUGAAGAAUGCUGUGACCAAAAAGCAGCCAGGACACCACAUCUGCAGUUACAGAGAGCAGGAUGGGGGAGGAAUCAGAAGGACCAGAAGAUAAUAUCAACUGGUGCCCCUGAGGAGAUUCACAUUGUUCUGUUUCUUUUGUUUAGUAAUAAGUGGUUUUAUGUGAUUUUGUAAAAUAAAAGAAAUUCACUAUUCAAUCCACAUUUUUGCACAUAAUUUUCUAUAUUUUACUUCCAUGUAUUUACAGCCAGGGUGCCUACCGU